rnacentral:rRNA from 1 species
GAAUCCCGUCUUUGACACGGACUGCCUGUACAUUAUGGUGUGCUCUCGAAGAGUCGAGUUGUUUGGGAAUGCAGCUCAAAAUGGGUGGUAAAUGCCAUCUAAAGCUAAAUAUUGGCGAGAGACCGAUAGCGAACAAGUACCGUGAGGGAAAGAUGAAAAGAACUUUGGAAAGAGAGUUAAACAGUACGUGAAAUUGCUGGAAGGGAAACGCUUGAAGUCAGUCGCGUUGGCUAGAAAUCAACCUUGCUUUUGCUUUGUGUACUUUCUGGUUGACGGGUCAGCAUCAAUUUUGACCACUGGAUAAAGUCUUUGGGAAUGUGGCAUCUUCGGAUGUGUUAUAGCCCAUUGUCGCAUACGGUGGUUGGGAUUGAGGAACUCAGCACGCCGCAAGGCCGGGUUUCGACCACGUUCGUGCUUAGGAUGCUGGCAUAAUGGCUUUAAUCGACCCGUCUUGAAACACGGACCAAGGAGUCUAACAUGCCUGCGAGUGUUUGGGUGGAAAAACCCAUGCGCGCAAUGAAAGUGAAAGUUGAGAUCCUCUUCAAAGGGGGAGCAUUGACGCCCGGACCAGACCUUUUGUGACGGAUCCGCGGUAGAGCAUGCAUGUUGGGACCCGAAAGAUGGUGAACUAUGCCUGAAUAGGGUGAAGCCAGAGGAAACUCUGGUGGAGGCUCGUAGCGAUUCUGACGUGCAAAUCGAUCGUCAAAUUUGGGUAUAGGGGCGAAAGACUAAUCGAACCAUCUAGUAGCUGGUUCCUGCC